rnacentral:rRNA from 1 species
GUGUCAGCCGCCGCGGUAAGACGUAGGGGGCUAGCGUUGUCCGGAAUUACUGGGCGUAAAGAGCUCGUAGGCGGCCUGUUAAGUCGGGUGUGAAAGCCCUCGGCUCAACCGAGGAAUUGCACUCGAUACUGGCGGGCUAGAGUCUGGUAGAGGGAGGUGGAAUUCCCGGUGUAGCGGUGAAAUGCGCAGAUAUCGGGAGGAACACCGGUGGCGAAGGCGGCCUCCUGGGCCACGACUGACGCUGAGGAGCGAAAGCUGGGGGAGCGAACAGGAUUAGAUACCCUGGUAGUCCCAGCCGUAAACGAUGGGCACUAGGUGUGGGGGGUUACCAACUCCCUCCGUGCCGAAGCUAACGCAUUAAGUGCCCCGCCUGGGGAGUACGGCCGCAAGGUUAAAACUUAAAUGAAUUGGCGGGG